UUUUGAGCAAAUUAUAGAAAUGCCCAUUUUGUUUUACUUAACUACAUGAGCCACCCUCCUUUUUUCAAAAUACAAGAAAAUUCUUUAAUUUUUUUGUUUUCAUUACAAUGGCACCUUUGUAUCACAAACAUCAUUAACUUGGCUUGAUCAUGUGAUGUGAUUUUCAAGUAUUUUUUUUCCCAAAACACCCCAUCAUCAUUAUCAUUGCAUUCUCUACUUUGUUGUGCUCCUUUCUUUUCCUUCUCUUCGUUGACACAACAUUCCUCCUCUACCUCUUUGUCCUAAAGAUUUGCCUCGCCUGGAUCCAACUAAAUCACAUUAAUAUUUGAACCAACUCAAGGCCAUUCUUUACCUUUCAUUCUUCUUCAUCAUGAUCGCCAACUCAACUCCAUCACUUGAGGUGACCAUCGUAUCAAGGCGCAUGACUCCUCCUAUCUAUAUUGGUAGGAACAAUGGUAGUUAAGAUUGACAAUCUAGAUCCAAACAACAAAUAAUACAUGUGUAAUAUGUAGAAACAUAAGAGUGCACAUGUAAUUGUCAUGUGAGAAUUUAAAUGUAAUUCAAUUCUUAAAACUAAAUGUAAUGUAAUUUAAUAUCAUUAUACGAAAGUUGUCAAAAUAAUAUUUUCAAACGGAAGAAUGUCUUGUGUAAAACAUAUGAAAUAUUAUUGUAAUUUAUUCUUAUAUUCUUUCAUUUAAAAUUUAAUUAUCACGAUAUUAUUUUAAAAUAUAAAGCUAAUCACGGUAUAUUAUUUAAAAAAAAUUAGUUAUUAAAGUCUUGAAGGAGAAAUAAAUAACACUAACAUUUUUUGACGCAAUAAACAACUAAAUUAGAAUAAUAGAAUUGUUAAUUAUUCAGUCCUAUCUUAUCAUAUCUAACUAAUCAAAUAGGGCCUUAAGGACUAUUUUCUUUUAAUCCGUAGGGCCUUAGCCCUUAAGGACUAUGUAGGGAUUAGGAGAGAGAAUAAUAAUCAAAUACUUAAUUGAUGAUUUAAUGAUUAAUAUUUAAAUUACUAGCCAAAACGAAGCCGUUUGAUGACUUAGAGUUUAACCUAUGUCCCUGCCCGCUUUCGGCGCAAGACGCAGUCCCACACAACACUAGACGUUAGUGGCGGGUGCG
rnacentral:lncRNA from 1 species